UGUCAAGGGAUGGGAAUCGAACCCACGAACCCACGACCUUCCGCUUACCGGGCAGAUGCCAUGACCACUAGGCUACCCUGGAC